GGAGUCCAGAGGACUUAUAAGGGAGUGAUGGUAGCUUGAGGCUGAACUUCUGAUCCAAACUUUGCUGUUGCAUUCCCUUUUAUCAGAAAAUUAAGACUCUCUAUUCAGCAGGGAAAGGACAAUGAUAAGAGAAUCACAGCCUAUGAUUGGAGAGUGGAAGCUGGAACUCUGUUCAACUGAGCUAAUUCUUUGAAUAUGCACACUUCUACAGAGUGUAAAGAACAUCCAGGGGAAGCUCUGCUGGAAGUCCUGUGCCUGCAGCAAUUUGAAGAAUCAAGCCACUUAAUGAGAUACCUGAUGGGAUCAUUACCAUGUCCAACUGCAGGGAAGCUUAGAGCCUCACAAGUUCCUUUUCUUCAAAAAUUCCACAAAUAGAGGGAAAAAUAAGCAUCAUCAGGAGAUAAGUUAAAGCCAAGGAACAUCAAUGUGAAAAUGCAAGGAAGAGAGAAGCUCUUAGUGGAAAGUUGAUAAACAACAAGAAUUUAAGGCAGACAGAAGACAACAAAGAGUGGACAGUAAUUUCAGUGAAGAAAAGGAGAAGAUAUCCUGAAAGAAGGUGCACACUCUGGAGAUGGAUCAAUGUGAAGAAAUUAUAGAAAUGACAUUACAAUAUAAAGGAGCAGUACAAUGCAGUAAAAGAGACUUUUUGAAGUCUCAUGCUUACAAAUAUUGAAGUCUGUACUAAUCCUGGAGUCAGCUAAUC